rnacentral:rRNA from 1 species
UAUUAUUUCUGCCCAGUGUAUAUAUAAACGGCCGCAGUACUUUGACUGUGCUAAGGUAGCAUAAUCAAUUGGCUUUUAAUUUGAGUCUGGAAUGAAAGGAUUUAUGAGGAUUUACUGUCUUAAAUAUAUAAUAUUGAAUUUAUUAAAAAAGUGAAAAUACUUUUUUUUAAAAAAAAGACGAGAAGACCCUAAGAAUUUUUAGAUAGUAUUGUAAAUUAUUUUCUUUUUGUUGGGGCGACAAUUAAGCACUAAACCUUAAUUAUUUUUUAAUCGGUUUUUUCAGUAUAAAAUAAAUUACCUUAGGGAUAACAGCAUAAUUUUUAAAA